GUCGAUAACAAUAUCUCAUAUUACGCGCAAGUUAAUACAUUCUAUGACUUUCGGGUGAAAAACCAGUUUAUCUUGAAAAAUAUACACUACGUUCAUUAGACAUUUAUUUAUUUAUUUUCAUGAGUGGGGCCUGCCCUGAGGGUUUGUCGGUGGACUUUGGAAGCACCCUGUAUAAUAUGCUGAUAAAACCUGAAGACGGCUAUUUCCACUUCUUGGCUACCGUUUUGAAGCAGAUGACAGAAUUUCUGCCACAAAAUCAGUUGUACUAUAUUGUGCAGUUAUGUAUGUGGGUUGAAAUGCCUUUUCAUGAAUGUUUAGAAUUUAUUUAUUGCAAUUAAUGUUCAUUUUUUUUAAUUUUUUGAUACUUCAUAUUUGAAAAAACUUAUAAAUGUGGGAAUGCAUAAAUUGAC
rnacentral:lncRNA from 1 species